AUACUUUGCUGGCAGGGAAGAGACCAUGGUCAUGGUGAUGGUUUUCCCAAGGCGAGGCUUAUCCUUUGUACUCUGGAUGUGCUGACCCCUGCAAUUUCCCCAAAUGUGGGAAACUCAACUUUGUAAUUCGUGAUGGGGGGACUUCGUUACUGCUCUUCUUU